UAUAAGUAUUGUACAAAAUGAUGUAGAGGACAAUUAUAAGGAGUUGGAAAACUGAAAGUAACUGCAACCAUGAUUGGUGGAGCAGUUACAUCCUUAUAACAAGGGUUUCGACACCCUUUCUUGGGUAAGUUACAAGGUACGAUCAUAGUGUGAAUGCUUGUCCUAUUGAGCGCAAGAGUUCCAAUAUGUUUCCAAGAGAAGGGAAGGUCUUAAUCACAUCUCAGAUAUCAUGGCUUCAUCUUCAAGAAAUUUCCAGUAUGUCCUUGAUCGUUCUCCUUCAUAGAGGGCGACGGCAAUGUCAUAAUUGCCGACUGAGGCACAUCAUCGUCUUCGGUGAGAAUCUUCGUCGGAUAGCGUGGUGGCUUCAUUUUCGUCCGCAGCUUCGGUGGAGGCAACGGCUCAUUGAACACAUUCAUGUCGUCAAAGCUUGUGGAUGAACGAACCAAGCGCAAGCGUUUCCCUGGCAUGUUGGUGUAAUUUACGUUUGGGCUUAGAGAGAAAAAUAUAAUAGGGUUUGGCUUUUUAGUCUUUAGAGAAGAUUGCUCUGGGGAGUUUGGUGUUGGAAAUGGGUUGUAUUGGGAGGUAUAUAUAAUCACAGUUGGUUCUUCAACUGUGAUUACAUAUACAUUUACAUGUGUUGUUAUAUAUUUACAGUGUAAGUUUCGUGUUAUAUCGGUUGCGAAUUUGGCAGGUUUUAUUUAACUAAGAGUUGUGAUCCCUA